rnacentral:rRNA from 1 species
UACAGAGGUCUCAAGCGUUGUUCGGAUUCAUUGGGCGUAAAGGGUGCGUAGGCGGGAAGGUAAGUCCGCGGUGAAAUCUCACGGCUCAACCGUGAAACUGCCGUUGAUACUGCUUUUCUUGAGUUCGGGAGAGGUUGAUGGAAUUCCAGGUGUAGCGGUGAAAUGCGUAGAUAUCUGGAAGAACACCAGUGGCGAAGGCGGUCAACUGGCCCGUAACUGACGCUGAGGCACGAAAGCGUGGGGAGCGAACAGG